CACGUAGGGGGCAAGCGUUGUCCGGAUUUAUUGGGCGUAAAGAGCUCGUAGGUGGUUCGGUAAGUCAGGUGUGAAACCUCCAGGCUCAACCUGGAGACGCCACUUGAUACUGCUGUGACUGGAGUCCGGUAGGGGAGCGUGGAAUUCCUGGUGUAGCGGUGAAAUGCGCAGAUAUCAGGAGGAACACCAAUUGCGAAGGCAGCUCGCUGGGACGCUACUGACGCUGAGACGCGAAAGCGUGGGGAGCAAACAGG
rnacentral:rRNA from 1 species